UUAGCACAGUGCCUGGUGCAUACUAGAUCCAUUAGUGUUGCUGUCAUUUAUAUGGAGAUGAGGGAAGCUGUGUCCAGAGAAGGAAACUGAGGCCGAGAGAACAUGGAUGCUGCCAUCUAACACCUUGCCAUCCAACAAAAAUAGAUCUUCAAGUAUUCUACUUGGAAAAUCAUACUGUCAACUACUGCUUUUUGACUUUAAUGUUUCUCACUGACCUUCACAAGAGGAAACAGGUUGGGCAAAACAAGCUGCCCCCAUAAAACCCAUUAACAUAUCUUUGGGCAAAAUCAGAAGAGAAAAUUGAUGCUUUUCCAUCCUAACAAGUGAAAUAUAGGACAGUAAUAUUCCAUCACUUUCAUGUACCACAUUUG